UACGUAGGGGGCUAGCGUUGUCCGGAUUUAUUGGGCGUAAAGAGCGUGUAGGCGGCCAGGUAGGUCUGGUGUGAAAACUCGAGGCUUAACCUCGAGAUGUCAUCGGAAACCAUUUGGCUAGAGUCCGGAAGAGGAGAGUGGAAUUCCUGGUGUAGCGGUGAAAUGCGCAGAUAUCAGGAGGAACACCUAUUGCGAAGGCAGCUCGCUGGGACGUAACUGACGCUGAGACGCGAAAGCGUGGGGAGCGAACAGG
rnacentral:rRNA from 1 species